rnacentral:lncRNA from 1 species
UCAAGCCUGCACAUCUUCUUGGAUCCCUCCUGCCACUUGCAUCACUCUGUCCCUCCAACCUACAAAUAGCUGAUCUCCCUCACCACCAGUCGUCUCAGCAUCAGAAGACGAGGGCGGCAGAGCUAGCUGCAGCGAUGGCGUAUGAGGCAGCCGCGGCCGUUGCUCUGAGAGGCCAAAGCCAGGUGUGCAGCCGAGAAGACAAGGUGGUGGAGGAGGGGAAAGCGGUGAUGAAGUGCGGCGUUCUCAGGAUCCUCAGAAGGGUCCUCCCGCUCUCCAAGGCACCAGCACCGUCGUCGGAGAAGAAAUGAAGGGGGUGUACAUGCAUAUGGUGAUGGUUUGACGAUUCUUCCAUCCCAUCAUGAUUUGUAAUGGUAAUUAUUCAUGUAGGGUAGAUGUGAUCAGAGAGGCGCAUGGCUUAAUCUUGAAGUUGUCAGCAGUGUACAGUUGUCACAUUCGGUUUUAAAACAAAAUCAAAUACUACCUAUACAGUCAUGAUCUAGUUUCAUACAUACAAUGACAUCACAAGUGAAUAACAGCAACAAUAUCACAUAAAGAAUGAGAGAGUAUAUCAGAGAUUUACAGAAAUAAAGGCUCCAAACUUCACAGGCAAUCGAUUGGGGGUUGCGUACGCCUAGAACUCAGCACCAUCUUCACAACAACUUCAUAACAGCUUCUUCUUCUAAGCAACGUUGGUUAUAGCAAGGGUGAGCACAUGUCGUACUCAGCAAGUGUGGGGAACAUAUGAAUGCAAGGCUUAAAUAAGGAAGGGCUGACUGGUUGACUGCAUUAGGCAUUUUUAAUUGGUCAAAUUAUUUGACCUGAUUAUAUAAGUAUUUACCAACCCAAAAUUAAGCAUAAACAUAGUCCAUAAGCAUAUGGCACAACCAUAACCAUGAUUUAAGUUCAUCUUCAAGUUCAAUUAUCAUGUAAGGGUCCAGGCCGCUC